UACGGAGGGUGCAAGCGUCACUCGGAAUUACUGGGCGUAAAGGGCGCGUAGGCGGCCCGCACAGUCGGGCGUGAAAUCCCCAGGCUCAACCCGGGGACUGCGCCCGAGACGUGCGGGCUCGAGGAUGGAAGAGGGUCGCGGAACACCCAGUGUAGAGGUGAAAUUCGUAGAUAUUGGGUAGGACACCGGUGGCGAAGGCGGCGACCUGGUCCAUUACUGACGCUGAGGCGCGACAGCGUGGGGAGCAAACAGG
rnacentral:rRNA from 1 species